GCAAGUGAUGAUUUGAAAAUUCUUCACUUUGACCUGACUAAUCAGUGAUGAUAACCUUCAGCCUGAGC